GCUGGCGGCGUGCCUAACACAUGCAAGUCGAACGAGAAAUUUCCGCUUCGGCGGAAAAAGUAAAGUGGCGCACGGGUGAGUAACGCGUGGGUAACCUGCCUUUGAAUCUAGGAUAACCCCGUGAAAACGGGACUAAUACUGGAUAAUGUCCCUUUGACUUUGGCCUUAGGGAUGAAAGGUGACCUCUUCAUGAAAGUUGCCGUUCAGAGAGGGGCCCGCGUACCAUUAGCUUGUUGGUGGGGUAAUGGCCUACCAAGGCUACGAUGGUUAGCUGGUCUGAGAGGAUGAUCAGCCACACUGGAACUGGAACACGGUCCAGACUCCUACGGGAGGCAGCAGUGAGGAAUUUUGCGCAAUGGGGGAAACCCUGACGCAGCAACGCCGCGUGAGUGAUGAAGAUUUUCGGAUCGUAAAGCUCUGUCAAGCGGGAAAAAACGCUUCCGGUCAAUAGCCGGAAGAAUUGAUGGUACCGCUGGAGGAAGCACCGGCUAACUCCGUGCCAGCAGCCGCGGUAAUACGGAGGGUGCAAGCGUUGUUCGGAUUUACUGGGCGUAAAGGGCGUGUAGGUGGUUUA
rnacentral:rRNA from 1 species